UAGAACUUAGAGUUUAUACUGAUUACACCCCAUACAAGGAGCAAUGAAGACUUGGUUUUCGCUAGUUUUGUUCGCCGUGUUGAUGCUGUUCGCCAUGACUGGCAGCACUGGUGCACGGGACCCAGACGAUUUGUUGCAUCAGCAUGAACCAAUAAUUGGCAAGCGAGCAGCACAGGGCGAUUGUCCGAUCCAUGAGUCGGGCGAAUGUAUUAAAUUUGGUCACGAGGUAGAAGGGUAGUUGGUAAAUCUGCUGAAUUAGGGUACACCUUUCUUGUGAGGGUGCAUGGUAAAGUUUUUGAACAAUAAAAUUCCCUUUGGGACAUGCUUAUAUAAA